AUUGAACGCUGGCGGCAGGCCUAACACAUGCAAGUCGAGCGGAUGAAGGGAGCUUGCUCCUGGAUUCAGCGGCGGACGGGUGAGUAAUGCCUAGGAAUCUGCCUGGCAGUGGGGGAUAACGUCCGGAAACGGGCGCUAAUACCGCAUACGUCCUGAGGGAGAAAGUGGGGGAUCUUCGGACCUCACGCUAUCAGAUGAGCCUAGGUCGGAUUGGCUAGUUGGUGGGGUAAAGGCCUACCAAGGCGACGAUCCGUAACUGGUCUGAUAGGAUGAUUAGUCACCUGGGAACGUGGACAGGGUCAAGAGUACUGCGGGAGGCAGCAGUGGGGUAUAUUGGACAAUGGGGGGAAGCCUUAUCCAGCCGUGCCGCGUGUGUGAAGAAGGUCUUCGGAUUGUAAAGCACUUUAAGUUGGGAGGAAGGGCAGUAAGUUAAUACCUUGCUGUUUUGACGUUACCAACAGAAUAAGCACCGGCUAACUUCGUG
rnacentral:rRNA from 1 species